GAAUGCAGAGACGACCACGUUGUAUGUGAAGCAUCCACUUUGCCUUGUACACCAGGGCAUUCAAUAACCACUUAAUAACUACAACCCUGAUGAUCCGAUUCACUACUAAAGUCUUCCGUGUUUAAAUUUUCAAAGUCAGAUUCUCCUACAGCAAUUGGCCCAAUUCCCCUUACUAGAGGCAACCACUGCUACUUAUCUCCCAUAUAUAUUUCCAGGAGUGAUGGUGAGGAGGAAUUGUGCCAGCUUGCUUCUUCACUGCCAUUUUGGAACCAGAACUCAGAACCUGAGAAAGAUGAAUGAAAUUUAGUGUUUCCCAUCCCCGAGAGACACCCAGCAUCCACAACUUCACACUCUGAUGCCAUUGUGUAUUUAUGCAAGGAAUACCAUAACUAAGAUGAGGUCUCGCUAUGUUGCCUAGGCUAGUCUUGAACUCCUGGCCUCAAGUGAUCCUUUUGCCUCAGCAUCCGGAGUCACUGGGAUUAAAGGCAUGAGCCACCGUGCUCAGGAACUUGACAUCAUCAGACAGUAAAUCAAGAGGUACUGACAACUGAGACUGAGUGAUGGUCCCUGCCUAGGAUUUGGAAUCUUUGCAUGAAAUAGGGACUCUAGCCACCAGCGACAAAGAAGUCAGGGAGACUGU
rnacentral:antisense_RNA from 1 species